rnacentral:rRNA from 1 species
UACGGGGGGAGCAAGCGUUGUUCGGAUUUACUGGGCGUAAAGGGCGCGUAGGCGGCCAGCACAAGUCAGUUGUGAAAUCUCCGAGCUUAACUCGGAAAGGUCAACUGAUACUGUGCGGCUAGAGUGCGGAAGGGGCAACUGGAAUUCUUGGUGUAGCGGUGAAAUGCGUAGAUAUCAAGAGGAACACCUGCGGCGAAGGCGGGUUGCUGGGCUGACACUGACGCUGACAGCGCGAAAGCUAGGGGGAGCGAACAGG